rnacentral:rRNA from 1 species
AGUGAACGCUGGCGGUGGGCCUAACACAUGCAAGUCGAACGGCAGCACAGUAAGAGCUUGCUCUUACGGGUGGCGAGUGGCGGACGGGUGAGGAAUACAUCGGAAUCUACUUUUUCGUGGGGGAUAACGUAGGGAAACUUACGCUAAUACCGCAUACGACCUACGGGUGAAAGCAGGGGAUCUUCGGACCUUGCGCGAUUGAAUGAGCCGAUGUCGGAUUAGCUAGUUGGCGGGGUAAAGGCCCACCAAGGCGACGAUCCGUAGCUGGUCUGAGAGGAUGGGCAGCCAGACCGGAAGUGUGACACGGUCCAGAGUCCUACAGGAGGCAGCAGUGGGGAAUAUUGGACAAUGGGCGCAAGCCUGAUCCAGCCAUACCGCGUGGGUGAAGAAGGCCUUCGGGUUGUAAAGCCCUUUUGUUGGGAAAGAAAAGCAGCAGGUUAAUACCCCGCUGUUCGGACGGUACCCAAAGAAUAAGCACCGGCUAACUUCGUGC